rnacentral:lncRNA from 1 species
UUUCAAUUGUUAGGAACCACGGUGUAUAAGUUGCUAAGUGUUGGGGCAAAUUGGGUGCAGAACGUUGCCGAUGGCAGGAAGCUGGGCGCACGGAAGUGUGCGGCCAUUGCCCGUGCUCGUCAAAGAUGAACGUUGGGCAGUUGCUGACCAUUGCUGGUAGUUGCUGGGAGUUGCUGGCGGUUACCAGCCAACUCAGCCUUGUUCUUAGCGAGUUCCUGAUUUCGUGGACGUUCAGAUCAGACCAACAGUUGGGUCUUAUCAAUUGUAAACAUGCCUAUAAAUAACCAACGGUUGGGUCUUGUCAACCGUAAAUAUACCUAUAAAUAACGAGUUAGGCAGAGAUUAAGAGAGGAGAGUCUCAGAUAAUGAAAAUCACCCUUAAAUAUUUUGCACGCCAAGUGUUUGUAGAAUUGUCAUUGUAAGCUUCAUUGCGAAAUACAAGGUUGACCGUGUUGGCUGUAA